UUGAGAUGAAUUAAUGUGUUUUCGUCUCCGAUUAUAUGGUAUCUUAGAAACUCAUAUUUCAUUUCAAUCUCUCUUUCACUAUUUCUCACUCUGUUCAUAGUUGGAACUUAAUGUUUUGUGACUUUUGAACCAUUUAGCAAUGACCUUACUAUGGUACUUGGACAACUAAUACACAAUAUUUUUGAUUGCAUUGGUGAGCUAGAGAUGAUUUUCAGAAUUAACACUUAUAAGUGGCUGCCCAUAUCUUCAAUUGAUCUGGCUGCCCAUAUCUAUUUCAUUUGUUGCUCAAGUGAAGGUAUCUGAAGAUAUGGAUGCUGUGAAUUCUAAAUAAUAUUGGACAAUAUUUUUCAACAAAAAAGAUGUGAAAUUAGCUUGUCAGUAGUGGUUUCACCAAUGCAGAAUCAAGGGAGAGGGAGUGCAAAAUCAGACAUUCAUAGUGAAUAUAUAAAGUAUCAGAUGUAAAAUUUUAAGAACAAUAUAAUAAUGCAAAGUUUUUAUAUUGGCUUAGUCUUUGCACAGGAGAGUUUCAUAUUGAUGCUUUUGAUAUAUAAUUUUUUGUAGAUUAUGUAGUUUAUACAUGGAUCUGAUUUCUAUAUCACCCUCACCCUUAGCACCAUGGAACUGAUAUUGGAGAAUUGACAUUAUAAUUUUGCAUUUUGAAUUUGAUUUUUAAUUGAGAUUGAGAUUUUGCAUCUGCAUUUUAAAAGUUAUGUAGCUGUUGCAUAUAUUGAUUAGGUUUAUUCUAAGUUUUCAGG